rnacentral:rRNA from 1 species
AGCGAACGCUGGCGGCAGGCCUAACACAUGCAAGUCGAGCGCCGUAGCAAUACGGAGCGGCAGACGGGUGAGUAACGCGUGGGAACGUGCCCUUUAGUUCGGAAUAACCCAGGGGAACUUGGGCCACUACCGGAUACGCCCUUCGGGGGAAAGAUUUAUCGCUAGAGGAUCGGCCCGCGUAAGAUUAGCUAGUUGGUGAGGUAACGGCUCACCAAGGCUAUGAUCUUUAGCUGUUCUGAGAGGAAGAUCAGCCACACUGGGACUGUGACACGGCCCAGACUCCUACGGGAGGCAGCAGUGGGGAAUAUUGGACAAUGGGCGCGAGCCUGAUCCAGCCAUGCCGCGUGAGUGAUGAAGGGCUUAGGGUUGUAAAGCUCUUUUACCAGGGAGGAUAAUGACGGUACCUGGAGAAUAAGCCCCGGCUAACCUCGUGCCAGCAGCCGCAGUAACAC